AUCCCUUCUCGGCCAUUUGGCCAAGAUCAAGUAUAGUAUGUGUCCUUACCAGUUUAAUAUCUGGUAUGUCUUCUAUCUGAGGACAAAUUUUUUUUUUUUUUUUUUUAUACUUUAAGUUCUAGGGUACAAUGUGCAGGUUUGUUACAUAUGUAUACAUGUGCCAUGCUGG
rnacentral:snRNA from 1 species